ACGAACGCUGGCGGCGUGCUUCACACAUGCAAGUCGAGCGGUAAGGCCCCUUCGGGGGUCCACGAGCGGCGAACGGGUGAGUAACACGUGAGCAAUCUGCCCAUCACAUCGGGAUAACUCCGGGAAACCGAAGCUAAUACCGAAUACGACCACCUCCGGCAUCGGAUGGUGGUGGAAAGUUCCGGCGGUGAUGGAUGAGCUCGCGGCCUAUCAGCUUGUUGGUGGGGUAACGGCCCACCAAGGCUUCGACGGGUAGCCGGCCUGAGAGGGUGACCGGCCACACUGGGACUGAGACACGGCCCAGACUCCUACGGGAGGCAGCAGUGGGGAAUAUUGGACAAUGGGCGAAAGCCUGAUCCAGCAACGCCGCGUGAGGGAUGACGGCCUUCGGGUUGUAAACCUCUUUCAGCAGGGACGAAGCGCAAGUGACGGUACCUGCAGAAGAAGCACCGGCCAACUACGUG
rnacentral:rRNA from 1 species